rnacentral:rRNA from 1 species
UUCCGGUUGAUCCCUGCCGGACCUGACUGCUAUCAGAUUGAUAUAAGCCAUGUUAGUUAUUGUAGUAAUACAAGGCAGACGGCUCAGUAACACGUAGUCAACCUAACUUAUGGACGGGGAUAACCUCGGGAAACUGAGAAUAAUACCCGAUAGGUCAUGAUGCCUGGAAUGGUCUAUGACUCAAAUAAUUUAUCUGCCGUAGGAUGGGACUGCGAGUUAUCAGCUUGUUGGUGAGGUAAUGGCCCACCAAGGCUAUUACAGUUACGGGCUUUGAGAGGAGUAGCCCGGAGAUGGGUACUGAGACAAGGACCCAGGCCCUAUGGGGCGCAGCAGGCGAGAAAACUUUGCAAUGCGCGAAAGCUUGACAAGGUUAAUUCUGAGUGGUUUCCUGCUAAAGGAACCUUUUGUUAGUCGUAGAACCACUGAGCAUAAAGGGGUGGGCAAGUCUG